UACGAAGGGGGCUAGCGUUGCUCGGAAUCACUGGGCGUAAAGGGUGCGUAGGCGGGUCUUUAAGUCAGAGGUGAAAUCCUGGAGCUCAACUCCAGAACUGCCUUUGAUACUGAGGAUCUUGAGUUCGGGAGAGGUGAGUGGAACUGCGAGUGUAGAGGUGAAAUUCGUAGAUAUUCGCAAGAACACCAGUGGCGAAGGCGGCUCACUGGCCCGGUACUGACGCUGAGGUGCGAAAGCGUGGGGAGCAAACAGGG
rnacentral:rRNA from 1 species